UACGUAGGCAGCAAGCGUUGUUCGGAAUUACUGGGCAUAAAGAGUGUGUAGGCGGUGUUCCAAGUCUGGUGUGAAAUCUCCCGGCUUAACUGGGAGGGUGCAUUAGAAACUGGAAUGCUAGAGGAUGGGAGAGGUAAGCGGAAUUCCUGGUGUAGCGGUGAAAUGCGUAGAUAUCAGGAGGAACACCUGUGGUGUAGACAGCUUACUGGACCAUUUCUGACGCUGAGACACGAAAGCGUGGGUAGCAAACAGG
rnacentral:rRNA from 1 species